UACGUAGGGUGCGAGCGUUAAUCGGAAUUACUGGGCGUAAAGCGUGCGCAGGCGGUUCGACAAGUCCGAUGUGAAAGCCCCGGGCUCAACCUGGGAAUGGCAUUGGAAACUGGCGAGCUUGAGUGUGGCAGAGGGGGGUGGAAUUCCGCGUGUAGCAGUGAAAUGCGUAGAGAUGCGGAGGAACACCGAUGGCGAAGGCAGCCUCCUGGGCCAGCACUGACGCUCAUGCACGAAAGCGUGGGGAGCAAACAGG
rnacentral:rRNA from 1 species